AACGAACGCUGGCGGCGUGGAUAAGACAUGCAAGUCGAACGCUCGUUUCGGGGUAGCAAUAUUCCGGAGCGGGAGUGGCGCAAGGGUGCGUAACACGUGGGUCAUUUGCCGUGAAGCUGGGAACAACUCGUUGAAAGACGAGCUAAUACCCAAUGUGCUCCGCAAGGAGUAAAGCCGGGGACCGCAAGGCCUGGCACUUCACGAUAAGCCCGCGGCCUAUCAGCUAGUUGGCGGGGUAAAAGCCCACCAAGGCUAAGACGGGUAGCUGGUCUGAGAGGACGACCAGCCACACUGGAACUGAGACACGGUCCAGACACCUACGGGUGGCAGCAGUCGAGAAUUUUUCACAAUGGCGGAAAGCCUGAUGGAGCGACGCCGCGUGGGGGAGUGAAGGGACGUUCGGCUCGUAAACCCCUGUCAUUCGCGAACAAAAGGUGCGGCCUAACCAUAGCCGUCGCCUGA
rnacentral:rRNA from 1 species